GAUGAACGCUGGCGGCGUGCCUAAUACAUGCAAGUCGAGCGAAGCGGGGACGGGUGAGUAACACGUGGAUAACCUCCUAUAAGACUGGGAUAACUUCGGGAAACCGGUGCUAAACCGGAUACUUAUCGAUGGAUCCGCGCUGCAUUAGCUAGUUGGUGAGGUAACGGCUUACCAAGGCAACGAUGCAUAGCCGACCUGAGAGGGUGAUCAGCCAAACUGGAACUGAGACACGGUCCAGAAUCCUACGGGAGGCAGCAGUAGGGAAUAUUCCGCAAUGGGCGAAAGCCUGACGGAGCAACGCCGCGUGUGUGAAGAAGGUCUUCGGAUCGUAAAACACUGUUAGUAGGGAAGCGGUACCGAAUCAGAAAGCAACGGCUAACUACGUGCCAGCAGCCGCGGUAAUAC
rnacentral:rRNA from 1 species